ACACGAUGAGACAUUUAGAUGACGAGUCUGAACCUGACGGGACAGAGUUUCUCUGUUUCGUCGGAACGUGACGAGUCAAUCAAAUUAUACCAUUCAUGCUUUUCUGAUC
rnacentral:snoRNA from 1 species